CAAACGGACUUUGUGUAAAACGAGCGUCACUACUUGUCAAAUAGUUGGUCACGGACGGCCAAAGAUAUCCUACUGCAUACACUAGACGUAACAGCAAGCCCCUGCCUCGCAUCUUGUCAAUAUCGAUCCACAAACCAUUCCUAUGGCUGUCGGUUUUCUCUUUGCAAAGGAGCAAGAUCUCCGGCGAGCUAGAUGAGUCAGUCCGGUGGAACAACAGCAGGCGGUGGUGGAGGGGGUUCAGUUUGUCUGGAUUCAGGCGAAGAAAAGACUAAAGCCACCACAUUACAAGGCGAGACAGGUCAGGGAGAAGGCAAGGGUGAGGAUGCUCCUAUCUCCGAGAACAAGAUCUUAACAAUGCGAACAUUGAAGGAUGGACAAGGAGAGAACGGAAUCGACAGGGCGCUGCAUCCAAGAAACCAAGUUCGGACAGAUGUAAUCAGAUGGAGAUAGCACUUGGGAAUGCUGGGAAGAUUGGGCAGGAAGUUGUUUUUCAACCAUUUAAAGGGAUGCAAUUCGACUCAAGAGAAGGAUGCAUACGAAUUUUUCAAUGCAUAUUCUUGGGAAAUUGGUUUUGGUAUCAAGCAUGGCAAUAAAUACAUAAACAAGAACGGAUUCAAGACGAUGCAGGACCUUUUGUGUUCAUGCGAGGCAACUCACAAAAAAUUCAACUCUAGGUCUAGUAGAACAAACUGUCCUGUGAUGGUUAGAUUGCUUUGCACAGAGGAUGAUGGAUGGUACUACGGAGAGGUGGUAUUAGAACACAACCAUGAGUUGGCAGCUAGUGUAGGUGAAAGAAAGUUAUGGAAGUGUCACAAGUAUGUCGACUCAUCUAUGAAGGACAUUGUUAGGCACUUGCGUUCUAACAAUGUUUCACUGACCAAGGUAUAUGGGGUGAUGGCUAACGUUCACGGUUCACAUGAUGACGUCCCAUUCCGUAAAAGGUCUCUCAAAUCCAUGUGUGCUUCCAUAGCUCCGAAUGUAGUCAAGAUGGUAUCAACAAGACACUGGAUUUAUUCACAAGCAUGCAGGUAGAAGGAACAGGAUUCCUUUUCGCAAUUAAAACAAACGAGCAAAGAAGGGUGUCUGGUCUGUUUUGGUGUCAUCAAAAGAGCAGGGCUGAUUACAGUUGCUUUGGAGACGCCGUGACAGUCGACACGACUUACAAGAGCAACCUCUAUGAGAUGCCAGUUGGACUAUUUGUUGGAGUCAAUAACCAUUAUCAAUGCUGCCUGUUUGGUUGUGUUCUUCUGCAUGAAGAGACUGUAGAGUCAUUCAAGUGGGCAUUUGAAACAUUCCUAUCAGCAAUGGAUAACAAACCGCCAAAAACAAUAUUAUCUGACCAAAGCAGGCAAAUGGAGCUUGCCAUUGCUGACGUGAUGAAUUCAUCAAAACAUGUUUGAUGAAAAUGGCAUGUUUUAAAGAAGAUGAGGGAGAAAGUAGGGAGCAUGUACAGGAAUGGUACUCCUUUUAGGAACGAUUUCAACAUUAUAAUAAAUGAGAUGAUGACAGUUGAGGAGUUCGAAAAGGAAUGGCAGGAGAUCAUGACACAUUAUGGACUUGAAAAAAAUUCAUUUUUGCAUCAGGUUUAUGAUUGUUGUUUCAAAUGGGCCAAGCCUUACCUCAAGGAAGACUUCUGUGCAAAAAUGUGCAGCACACUGUUGGAGUUGUGUCGAAUAUAGUGUACGAGGUAGGUUACAGUUGGACUUGAAGUUGUAUUGUGUUUAGAUAGGAUAUGGAGUCGUGUCCUAGUAGGACACUUAUAUCCUAUGUCUUUCAUAUAUAGCGGGGCUAGACACACGAUGUAACCUAUGCCAACAUAAUAGCACCGGAACGCAGGGGAAGCCGACGGCAUGUGUCGGUGUCCAGGGCGACCUGGUGCGGUAUUGUGACGGUGUCACGAGGAGGAGCGCCCGUAGUCAGGCCCUGGAGAUGUAGCCAUAUCGUUGAACCUCGUUAACAAAUCUCGGCGUCGUUGGUCACGUGUAGUGACGGAAAGUUUCGACUUGCGGCAAAGAUAUUUUUGCUUGUGCUAGCGAUUGGAAGCGGGGACGGCUUAACAGGCAGACAACAGGUCAGUCAGAUAGAUCGAUGGGCGCUGGCUGCGGAAGCCCAAGGCGCGUGCACAUAGCGCGCUGGAUCAGGUCGCGUAC